rnacentral:rRNA from 1 species
GAGUUUGAUCCUGGCUCAGAACGUACGCUGGCGGCACGCCUAACACAUGCAAGUCGAACGCAGUAGCAAUACUGAGUGGCAAACGGGUGAGUAUAAUGUGGGAAUCUGCCUUUUGGUCUGGAAUAACACGGGGAAACUUGUGCUAAUACCGGAUAAGCCUUUACAGGGAAAGUUUUAAUGCCGAAAGAUGAGCCCGCACUUGAUUAGCUAGUUGGUAAGGUAAAAGCUUACCAAGGCAACGAUCAAUAGCUGUUCUUAGAGGAAGACCAGCCACAUUGGGACUGAGACACGGCCCAGACUCCUACGGGAGGCAGCAGUGGGGAAUCUUGCACAAUGGGGGAAACCCUGAUGCAGCGAUGCCGCGUGAGUGAAGAAGGCCUUUGGGUUGUAAAACUCUUUCGUCGGGGAAGAAAAUGACUGUACCCGAAUAAGAAGGUCCGGCUAACUUCGUG